rnacentral:miRNA from 1 species
UCUUUCCGUUGGUGUGGGUCCUGUGAUUCAGGCUGCCACAGACACCGCAGGGAAAGA